GAUGAACGCUGGCGGCGUGCCUAAUACAUGCAAGUCGAGCGAACGGACGAGAAGCUUGCUUCUCUGAUGUUAGCGGCGGACGGGUGAGUAACACGUGGAUAACCUACCUAUAAGACUGGGAUAACUUCGGGAAACCGGAGCUAAUACCGGAUAAUAUUUUGAACCGCAUGGUUCAAAAGUGAAAGACGGCCUUGCUGUCACUUAUAGAUGGAUCCGCGCUGCAUUAGCUAGUUGGUAAGGUAACGGCUUACCAAGGCAACGAUGCAUAGCCGACCUGAGAGGGUGAUCGGCCACACUGGAACUGAGACACGGUCCAGACUCCUACGGGAGGCAGCAGUAGGGAAUCUUCCGCAAUGGGCGAAAGCCUGACGGAGCAACGCCGCGUGAGUGAUGAAGGUCUUCGGAUCGUAAAACUCUGUUAUUAGGGAAGAACAUAUGUGUAAGUAACUGUGCACAUCUUGACGGUACCUAAUCAGAGAGCCACGGCUAACUACGUG
rnacentral:rRNA from 1 species